AUGAAGAUGAAGAAACUUAACACCGUGUUCAUCAUCUUUAUGAUUCUAACAUUUCUUGUGUCGCUUCCUUUUGUUCAAUGCUCUCGUAUCUAUCGAACAAACAUGGAAGGAGCUAGUCGACACAUAGCAACAAGCAUUAAGGAUGCAAUUGCAAGGUUUAAGAAAGUUGGUGUUUCUGUUGGCACAGUAGAAGACUCAGCAAGAAAAGUUCCAACAGGACCUGACCCUCUUCAUCACAACAACAACCCUUUAGAACCUUAA